CAUGCCAGUAUCACAAAAUGCUCUGCUCUCUCAGGAUUGUAGUACUCUUUAUACACUGCUAAAAUGGAGAUCUAAAAUGAGAGGCCUGUGUAAGAGGAAUUGUAGAAAACUAGAAAAUAAGUAAAUAAAGACGCAUCUCAGCUGCUCUGCUGACCUGCACAAAAGGCUGAUCCAUCAUAAAUGUUUGAGGUCUCUCUGUAAGGACUGUCGGUGCCACUCACAUCGUGGUGAUCUCGACUCAGGACAACCGGUGCCUA